UUACCAAUUUGCUGACUUCUCAUCUAACUUUACCAUUUUACUCAUCUGAAAAAAAGCCCUAUCUGUAUAUCCUCACCCGUCUCUCCUCCGCUCCGUCUCGAUCUCUCACUGCUCAAUCUCCAUUUCUCAGCUGAAGCCCUUGAUUGAUGUUUGCUAACCCGUCUCUCUUUCGGUAUUAUCUCAUCUGAGAUUACAAAGUUGAAGCCCUAGGUUUCUCUUCAGGCCGUCUCUCCUCUGUCUCAAUCUCUCACCAGUUACUCGAUCUCCAAGAGCUGUUAAUGUAUGUCAUUUCGAGAUCUUACUCACUAGCUUUUCCUCCCAAAACGUUCUCGCUGAAGCCUCUCUCAGUUGUUUCAUCUAACUUAAACUAUUAUCUCAUCGUCAAAUUGAAGCCCUAGCUGUAUCUUCAGGCCGGCCGUCUCUCCUCUGCUCUAUCUCAAUCGAUCAAGCCGUUUCUCAGCUGCAAGAGCCGUUCUCCUCUUCUCUUUCUCGAUCUCUCACCAGCUGCUCGAUCUCCAUUUCUCAGCUGAAGCCCUUGAUUGAUCAGGCUGUUUCUCUGCUGCAAGGCUAAACUGUCUCUCUUCAAGCCGUCUCGCCUCUGCUCGAUCUCCAUAACUCUCAGGCAACUUUUUUGCUUGUGAUGAAAAGCAUAAAAGAUCUUCAAGCAAGCCAAUACUCUGACUCGCCUAUUGGCAGUUCCGAUGAUUUGUACUCCGUUGUGAGGGGAGAAGAGAGAAGGGGUCGUGUGCGGAUGUUUGGCUUGGGGCCUACACCAAGCAAUGUUUGGGGGCCCUCUCCUAGUAAAGCUGAACUCAUUAACAAAGCCAAAAAAUCUGAUGAGGAGGCACAUGCUAACGUGUAGAGUUGCAGGAUACAAUUUCAAAAAUGCAAGCUGACUAUGACGAUAAAUUGGAAAAUUUACGAGCUGAUUAUGACGACAAAUUGGAAAAUUUACAAAAAUAAGUGGCUAUGCUAAUGCAGAUGCAACAACGAAAUUCUAGUGGAUAGGUAUAUUUAUUAUUAGUUUUACUCUUUACUGAAUAUAAGUUUACUUAUGCCAAGAUUUCAUGUAUAAUUUUGUUUUGUUAUUUUGAAGGGUUCUGAUUCUUCAAAUGUUCCUAGAGAAUCUCCAAAUUCAAUUUCUAGUCGUGCCAAUUUAGUUAAGGUUAUGACUUUAAUUUCUUUUUUUUUUAAA